AGUGAACGCUGGCGGUAGGCCUAACACAUGCAAGUCGAACGGCAGCACAGUAAGAGCUUGCUCUUACGGGUGGCGAGUGGCGGACGGGUGAGGAAUACAUCGGAAUCUACUUUUUCGUGGGGGAUAACGUAGGGAAACUUACGCUAAUACCGCAUACGACCUACGGGUGAAAUCAGGGGAUCUUCGGACCUUGCGCGAUUGAAUGAGCCGAUGUCGGAUUAGCUAGUUGGCGGGGUAAAGGCCCACCAAGGCGACGAUCCGUAGCUGAUCUGAGAGGAUGAUCAGCCACACUGGAACUGAGACACGGUCCAGACUCCUACGGGAGGCAGCAGUGGGGAAUAUUGGACAAUGGGCGCAAGCCUGAUCCAGCCAUACCGCGUGGGUGAAGAAGGCCUUCGGGUUGUAAAGCCCUUUUGUUGGGAAAGAAAAGCAGCAGGUUAAUACCCCGCUGUUCUGACGGUACCCAAAGAAUAAGCACCGGCUAACUUCGUG
rnacentral:rRNA from 1 species